rnacentral:rRNA from 1 species
UUGAACGCUGGCGGCAGGCCUAACACAUGCAAGUCGAGCGGAUGAAGGGAGCUUGCUCCUGGAUUCAGCGGCGGACGGGUGAGUAAUGCCUAGGAAUCUGCCUGGUAGUGGGGGAUAACGUCCGGAAACGGGCGCUAAUACCGCAUACGUCCUGAGGAGAAAGUGGGGGAACUUCGGAACUCACGCUAUCAGGUGAGCCUAGGUUGGAUUAGCUAGUUGGUGGGGUAAAGGCCUACCAAGGCGACGAUCCGUAACUGGUCUGAGAGGAUGAUCAGUCACACUGGAACUGAGACACGGUCCAGACUCCUACGGGAGGCAGCAGUGGGGAAUAUUGGACAAUGGGCGAAAGCCUGAUCCAGCCGUGCCGCGUGUGUGAAGAAGGUCUUCGGAUUGUAAAGCACUUUAAGUUGGGAGGAAGGGCAGUAAGUUAAUACCUUGCUGUUUUGACGUUACCAACAGAAUAAGCACCGGCUAACUUCGUG